UAGAGUUUGAUCCUGGCUCAGGACGAACGCUGGCGGCGUGCCUAAUACAUGCAAGUCGAGCGGAGUUUCCGCGACGGAAGCCUUCGGGUGGAAGACGCGGGGACUUAGCGGCGGACGGGUGAGUAACACGUGGGCAACCUGCCCGGAAGACCGGGAUAACAUCCGGAAACGGAUGCUAAUACCGGAUAGGCGGUCUUCUCGCAUGAGGGGAUCGGGAAAGGCGGGGCAACCUGCCACUUCCGGAUGGGCCUGCGGCGCAUUAGCUAGUUGGCGGGGUAACGGCCCACCAAGGCGACGAUGCGUAGCCGACCUGAGAGGGUGACCGGCCACACUGGGACUGAGACACGGCCCAGACUCCUACGGGAGGCAGCAGUAGGGAAUCUUCCGCAAUGGGCGAAAGCCUGACGGAGCGACGCCGCGUGAGUGAGGAAGGUCUUCGGAUCGUAAAGCUCUGUUGCCAGGGAAGAAGACUUGGGAGAGUAACUGCUCUCAAGGUGACGGUACCUGAGAAGAAAGCCCCGGCUAACUACGUGCCAGCAGCCGCGGUAAUACGUAGGGGGCGAGCGUUGUCCGGAAUUAUUGGGCGUAAAGCGCGCGCAGGCGGUCUUGUAAGUCCCGUUGUGUAAGACCGGGGCUCAACCCCGGGUUGCAAGGGAAACUGCAGGACUUGAGUGCGGGAGAGGGAAGCGGAAUUCCAUGUGUAGCGGUGAAAUGCGUAGAGAUAUGGAGGAACACCAGUGGCGAAGGCGGCUUCC
rnacentral:rRNA from 1 species